AGAGUCCAGCACCUCAACUACCAUGCCCCCUGCUGGCCCCGGUACUGGAGAGCCUGUAAGUGUACGUGACUUCCGGCACGACGGUAGUGUUAAGUACCUGGAAACCUCUAGCAGUAGGAGUCACAGGGUAGGUUAGUAUGCGGACAGCGUGUGCCUGGUGUCACGUAAGGAGUACUCUAAGCAGAACACGUGCUGCACUGAGAGUAAGCACCUUUUUUAUAACUGGAGCAAGUCACUUGUCGACAUUGCCUGUCAAGAUGGACAGAUUCCUUGAGUGGAAUUUAGUUCCUGCAAAGCAGGCUGAGCUGUCUCUGCAGAGAUCUAACAACUAUGGCCGCCAGAACAGCCCUAACAUCAGCCCUGACUGGCUGGCCUUGUGAUAGGAUGGUCAUGACAUUCUGCCAGGGUCCAACUUUUGCAAGACUGAAAGCUGGGAUUAAUGACGAGGAAAACACAUGAAUGGAAUGGAUGGCAAAUAGGAAUGAAACAUCGGGUAUCUUUUGAGCUGGGAAAUAUUAACCCGCACAUCAAUACUUUGGCAUUUCACUGCUGUGUCAGUUAACCGUACCAGAUAACGUCCAUAUUAUCAAUGCUCAAGGGCAGCUUUGUUCAGGUCUUUUCCAGAACAUUAACACAUUAACUCUCCUGUUGUACAGCGUAGCUAUUUCCUUAGGUAAUGGUGGUGCAGCAGAAGCUCGUAUUUUUAACCUGGCAUCCAACUGUGCGCAUGCGUGUGUGUAGCAGAGAGCACGUGCGUGUGUGCGAGAGAGGGAGAGAAGCCCCGCAACAGCGACUCAUUAUUAUGCUGUGAUCCCCUUCUCUGUCUUCCGGCUCCCCGGGAUCUGAAGUCUCCCUGAAAUCAGCAUCUUCUGGAAGAGGCCUUUAAGGGCACUUGUACUCACCAAAGAGAAACAGAGAAAAAGAA